rnacentral:rRNA from 1 species
AUACGGAGGGCGCAAACGUUGCUCGGAAUCACUGGGCGUAAAGCGCUCGUAGGCGGCACGUCAAGUCGGGCGUGAAAUCCCUCGGCUCAACCGAGGAACAGCGUUCGAAACUGGCGAGCUAGAGUCCGGUAAGGGAUAGCGGAAUUCCCGGUGUAGAGGUGAAAUUCGUAGAUAUCGGGAGGAACACCAGAGGUGAAGACGGCUAUCUGGGCCGGUACUGACGCUGAGGGGCGAAAGCGUGGGGAGCAAACAGGAUUAGAAACCCUAGUAGUCC